rnacentral:rRNA from 1 species
GACGAACGCUGGCGGCGUGCUUAACACAUGCAAGUCGAACGGAAAGGCCCUGCUUUUGUGGGGUGCUCGAGUGGCGAACGGGUGAGUAACACGUGAGUAACCUGCCCUUGACUUUGGGAUAACUUCAGGAAACUGGGGCUAAUACCGGAUAGGAGCUCCUGCUGCAUGGUGGGGGUUGGAAAGUUUCGGCGGUUGGGGAUGGACUCGCGGCUUAUCAGCUUGUUGGUGGGGUAGUGGCUUACCAAGGCUUUGACGGGUAGCCGGCCUGAGAGGGUGACCGGCCACAUUGGGACUGCGAUACGGCCCAGACUCCUACGGGCGGCAGCAGUGGGGAAUAUUGCACAGUGGGCGGAAGCCUGAUGCAGCAACGCCGCGUGCGGGAUGACGGCCUUCGGGUUGUAAACCGCUUUCGCCUGUGACGAAGCGUGAGUGACGGUAAUGGGUAAAGAAGCACCGGCUAACUACGUG